AUUCUUUUGUAGUUCAUAAGCAUGAUGAUUGGGUGUUCACACGCUUGUGUAAGGUGUGCCACCCUUGAACCUUGUUACGACACUGGUACAUUACCUACCUGACC